AACGAACGCUGGCGGCAUGCCUAACACAUGCAAGUCGAACGAGACCUUCGGGUCUAGUGGCGCACGGGUGCGUAACGCGUGGGAACCUGCCCUUAGGUUCGGAAUAACUCCCCGAAAGGGGUGCUAAUACCGGAUAAUGUCUUCGGACCAAAGAUGUAUCGCCUUUGGAUGGGCCCGCGUUGGAUUAGCUAGUUGGUAGGGUAAAAGCCUACCAAGGCGACGAUCCAUAGCUGGUCUGAGAGGAUGAUAAGCCGCGCUGGGACUGAGACCCGGCCCAGACUCGUACGGGAGGGAGCAGUGGGGAAUAUUGGGCAAUGGACGAAAGCCUGGUCCAGCAGUGCGGCGUGAGUGAUGAAGGCCUUAGGGUUGUAAAGCUCUUUGAGCCGGGAUGAUAAUGACAGUACCGGGAGAAUAAGCACCGGCUAACUCCGUG
rnacentral:rRNA from 1 species